rnacentral:rRNA from 1 species
CGGCGUGCCUAAUACAUGCAAGUCGCAGCGAAUAUUUGAGAGCUUGCUCUCAAAUGUUAGCGGCGGACGGGUGAGUAACACGUGGGCAACCUGCCUAUAAGACUGGGAUAACUUCGGGAAACCGGAGCUAAUACCGGAUAAUUCACAUCUACUCAUGUAGAUGUGCUGAAAGACGGUUUACGCUGUCACUUAUAGAUGGGCCCGCGGCGCAUUAGCUAGUUGGUGAGGUAACGGCUCACCAAGGCCACGAUGCGUAGCCGACCUGAGAGGGUGAUCGGCCACACUGGGACUGAGACACGG